CUGUGGGCGGCCGAGGGGAGGCGGCGGCGGCGGCGGCGCUGGCGGGAGUGGAUUCGGACAGAAGGGGUCUGGCCGGGAGUCAGCGGGGUUGAGUGAGAUUCACAGACUGUUGGACUAAGUUGGAAGGGAUCCACAAGGAUCCUCGAGUAAAACAGAUUUACUCUUAAGUAAAUGUCCCGUAGAGGGAUAGAACCCACCACCUUAGUGUUACUAGCACCAUGUUCUAACCAACUGCAACUACAGAAAAGUAACAAAUUUAACUACUAGUACUGAUAUGUUCUGUCAAUGAAUCCGCACGUCACCGUGAGGACGUCACAGCAUCCCAGCUGUAUGCUGCUCUGCUUCAGGAUUUUUAAGCCCAAAUUGCCUGGUCUGGUGGAAAUAUUUCUGAUGGAGAUAUGUUAAUGCAAGCUCUGCCAUUUCACAAGCAGGAUCAAAAGUAAGAUCAGGAUGCACCUGGUUCAAAUGCGUGAAACUGAUAUGUUGUGUGGAAUUUCAGGCUGCCCUGAAAUGGACCAUGGUAAAAAUGAAUUAUGUAGCAUUAGAGAUGAAAAGAAUGAAAAGAAUGAAAGCAAAGAAAACCUUGCAAAAAGUUACUGUCUUGUUGCCUGUGUAUCAGAUACCUUAAAAUAAGAGUCCUUGCUGUUGUGACAUGAUCUCAAGCAUAAUCCUUGUGCAUCUCACUCCUGCGAAAGGAACACCUUGUUUGGAGAAGUAGAAGAUUAUUUUCAAUUUGAGGAACCCUGCAGUGACUUCCAUAUUCCAAGAGAAAGGACAGCUAAGCCCAGUCUGUGCUUCUUAGCAUCUGUCAUGUUUUCACUGUUAGAACCCAGAUGUUUGCUGGGGAAAUUAAAAGCCCCUAAAGCUCAGUCAAGGUGUAAACAUCACAGGAAAAUCAGUUGAAAGCUGGAUCUAAAAGCUCUAUUCGCCCUGUGGAAGAUGCUUGUGCCUUAAAGUUGGGUUCUGAGAGAAAGCAGCAUUUCUGAAUGUGUGGGAUGUAGCAUUAGAGCUGAAUGAUGCUGAGAAAAUCCAUUUAAAGGAUCAUGACAUGGAUCAUGACUUUAAAUGUGUUUGUUGUCACAAGACAGAGUAGAUCUUAAUGGAAAAUCACUGAAAAUCACACAUGUGGAUAAAAGAAACCUACCAGUGCUUCAUCUGUGAAAGUGCUUUUAUAUCACUUUAUAAAGUGCCUGGAAAGUGUGCAGAAACAUCCAUCAGAGGAAACCUCAUCUCAGUGCACAUCAUCUGAAACUGAGCAGAUAAGCAAUUUUCAUGUAGCUUGCUUGGCAGUACCAGGAUACAGUUAUGUGCCCACACAGUGAUUUUACCAGUCCUGUGACAUACAGACCCUUUAGAGUUAUGGGCUUCAGCUCCAUCACAACAUCCAUACAUGUGUUGGUGGUGUCUUGACUGAACCACACUGGUGUACUUUGAAUUGGAGACUCAGCACUUCAGCAAUUUUAUAAUGCAAGUGUGCAUCCAAUAAUGAUAAUCUGUACUUGCAAGAUAUGUGUGAAUGGUAGUUGAUCAUUUCUAUAAAUCACUUGCCUAUUCAUUGUAUUUGCUGUGUACACAAGAAUAAAGAAGGGCAGCUCUUCAAAAUUACUUAUCUUUAACUUGCUUCUCAUUUUGUCCUACAGGUUAAAAAAAACCCAAACAAUACAACAAAUGAACAAACAAAAACCAACUCAAACAAACAACUUUUCAUGGGAAGCUCUAUUUUAUGUGUGUUUCACAAACAGCACAGAAUGAGGAGCAAGAUUUAUUUUCUCAACAGCUUUUUCUUUCUUCACCUGGAAGCUUCAUAUCUGACUUUUAAGUCUUUCCAUCACUGAUGGUAUUAUAAAAUACUGGUAUAGUGUAUUUUGGGUUUCUUUUUUAAUUGGUUUGCUUAGUUUAUGUCUUAAAUGGCAAUCCAGAGAAGAGUUGAAGGAGCAUAUGGAAAAUUACAGAAUUGCUAGCGCCCUUUUUUUCUUCAUUUCAGGAUCAAGUAUUCAAAACCAGACAUCAGUUGAGUGGACAUCACAAACAAAUCCAUCAUGAAGAAGCACCAAACCCACAAAUGAAAGAGAGGAAGAGAAGAACGAAGUCUGAAGAUAAUCCUGUGUUUCAACACAAAAGCAGCUUGAAAGUAGAAUUCAAGCUAAUUUAAAUGCAGUAUCUACAUACCUACACAGUAGGUAUGAUCUGUAUUACAGCAAAACUUUCUGUUUUAUUUCUUAAUUGCAGAAUAUUUUGUAAUGUGGCAUGUUUAUUUAUUUGCUGAUUUACUUACAUAUUUUUGUAAGGAAGUUGCUCUUAGAUAGCCUGAACAAAAAUAAAAAUAGCUACCUUCUACUUGGUUUGUGAUAGUAGCAGUCUUUGGAAUAAAUUAAGUAUGUGCUGGUCAAAAGGUGCAGCUAAGAUUUUCUGCUAUAGUUUGUCCCACACAAUAACAAAGCACAGCCACUGAAAUAAGCUCUUUCAGGAGCCAAAAGAAGUGCUGUGGGACUUCUUGGAAUGGUGCAAGUUAACUAGGUGAAAAAACAGCUUCUAGUCAUGGCUGCAUUUUUAAGAGGAGUACUAACUGAAGCAUCAAUUUUAUCAGUUAGUAUAAAAUUAUACUUAUCUGGACUUGUAAGAGUUAACACCAAGACUUUGCCUGGCCUCAAGUGCAUCCUUUCUUCCAAAGAGAUUUUGAGAAGGCAUUUGAUGCAGCUGCCUGUCCGUGAGUUGACAUUACAAAAUAUUCUGAUAGCUUUUUUAAUACUUAAGUAGAGAAGCUUGAGUACAUCUCUUUCUCUAGGUUUCUUCUAAGUAUGUGCAUUUGGCUUAGGGUGUUUUCUCUUUUUUGUUGUUGUUUAUGGCUAUACAUGUCUCUUACAUUAUCUGAAAACAUUUCUGCAAUAGUUUAACUAAAGAAAUCACUUUCUUAAUUUCACAGUUGUGUAUCAUAAAUUAAUUCAAAUCGUCGAAGAUUUUUUCCCCAAAGACUUCUUUAUCUCACUAUUUUCCAGGACUUAAAUAAUUGUCUAUACUGAAUCUGGCUUUCUUCAUUUGAAGUUGUUACUGCUCAUGUGGAAAGAAAUAAAUACAUGUUUUAGUCACUCUCUGAUAUUAGAAUAAUAAAAAGAAUCCAAAAAUGGAAUUUGGGUUUGGUUAGUCAAAGGCCUAAUUGCUUGAAGUGAGCUAGAGCAUUUUUGUUAGUAAGUUGGGAGCAGAUCAAUGUGCUGAUGAUGUACCUUGCACAUAGGCUUCUGUCUUCUGGCCUUUUUUAAAGUGGUCAGUUAACACAGCUCAUCAGUGCUUUGUUAACUCAGAAGUAAAAGGUUAAGCACUUUACAUUGUUACAUCGUUACAACUGUGACUUGUGAAACAGUGGAGUAGGGAAAUCCAAAUUUUGUCUGAGGUUACAUUUGAAAUGAGACAUAUGAUGUAGGCACUACAGCUCUUUUGAAAGAAAAAGGAACUUUUAUGGACUGGGUCUCUGGAGCUCUCCCUGGAACCAUGGACAUUAAGAAUUUAUUUGAACUUUUCAUACCUACUUCUGACUCGAGCUUUGCUUGAUUUUUGUACAGCAAAACAAACUUCAUGUCAACACUGUUCCUUUCCUACAGCCCCUCUGAGGUGCAAACUCGUAAAACUGGCAGGAGCUGUAUUCGCUGCCUGCAGCUGUCUUGUAAUUCUUUCCACUAAAGGCCCUGUCCCCACAGUAGAACAGGAUCUGUUGGGAAUCACAGCCAGCUCAGUGGUGUGUCCAGCGGCACAGAUGGAAUAGCUGAUGGCAGAAGGCGUAAGGAUAACCCUGCUGUGCUGACUGUGACUCUGAGAGCACGGGCUGUGCCCUGCACAGAGCUCCAGAGUGCCAGAGCAAGCUGCCUCAUUUCCUUUCAUCGCACAGUUGUCUCUCGUUAUGCCCAGAUUAACAGAUGCACAUGGGAAGUGUGUUUUAGAGUCUAUUCAUACUGUAAAACUUAAAGGAAUUCCUUUAAACGGAGAAAGAUCUGCUGUCAGGAGGUUACCAGCAAAGUGUUGGAAGCUGGACUGGGAAAUCCAGCUGUUUUCCUGGCUGUCCUGUGGCGCUUUGUUUGCUUUCCACCAGGAGGGGGCAGCAGAUGAACAAGAUCACACGGGCUGUUUUCUGCUUUUCAAACGCUUCCAGUGUCCCUCUCUGCCUGUGGGUCCUUGCAGGGACUCCUUACCGAUAUGAGAGUUUAAAAUUAUGGUUCCUGUUUGCUACAAGGAUAGCUGGAAUGUAUGAAUCAGAAGUCUUCAUUCUGUUCAGUAUUAAGGAAUAGAAUUUAUUUAUUAAAAUCUACCUCAAGUUUAUAAAGAGGGCAGUUCUUUAUUGAGACUUAAGAUUUUUAUGACUAUGGCAUUAGGUGUAUAUAUAUUUUAAAGGAUAAAAUAACCAAGCAACGCUAGCCCAUCAGCUCAUUAAUGUUACCUAAGUCUUGCUGAACAUCUUUCAAAUACUUAUUUUUGUAUUUUAAGUUGCAUAUUACAAUUCGAAAUAAUGUUCUCACAGCCAUUUUCUCCCAUCAAAAAACAAAACUGAGAAUACACUAAA